AUUGAACGCUGGCGGCAUGCCUAACACAUGCAAGUCGAACGGCAGCACAGCAUGUAGCAAUACAUGUGGGUGGCGAGUGGCGGACGGGUGAGUAACGCGUGGGAAUCUGCCCUAUAGUGGGGGACAACCCGACGAAAGUCGGGCUAAUACCGCAUACGCCCUACGGGGAAAGGCUUCGGCCGCUAUUGGAUGAGCCCGCGUCGGAUUAGCUAGUUGGUGAGGUAAUGGCUCACCAAGGCGACGAUCCGUAGCUGGUCUGAGAGGACGAUCAGCCACACUGGGACUGAGACACGGCCCAGACUCCUACGGGAGGCAGCAGUGGGGAAUAUUGCACAAUGGGCGAAAGCCUGAUGCAGCAAUGCCGCGUGUGUGAAGAAGGCCUGCGGGUUGUAAAGCAACUUUCGGUAGGGAAGAUUAUGACGGUACCUACAGAAGAAGCACCGGCUAACUCCGUGCCAGCAGCCGCGGUAAU
rnacentral:rRNA from 1 species